GGCUUGAGUCACACAAGUUGGCUCAAUUGCUAGAGGAAUGGGAUGUUUGGAAACCAAAUGAAGUUGCUUGGGUUUAAAGAUGUUGUUCAUGGAACGGGUUGUCAUUUUGUGGAGACGAGGGUUCCCAGUUUGAACACACGAAGGGGGAAUGGAAUGGGACUGAGAUAAAGUAAGAUCAGCAACCGUGUGUGUGUGAGUCGAAUGAAGGGAGGAAGGAAGAACAGGGUCAUGCGAGAUGAGAACAUCCGAAU
rnacentral:lncRNA from 1 species